AAAUGGGUUUUUUAAUUUUUAAUUAAUUCACACAAAAUAAUUAAACUCUAUGAUGAAAACGUCAAGCUUAACCUUAAAUUCACUUCUGAUUUUCUAGUAUUUUUCGACUUUUCCGAUAGUAUGGCGGCAGCUACUGGAUGUUUUAAAAGAAUUCUUCAAGUAUUAGAAAAAUGGCCUGUUGACGAGACUAAAUGAAUGAUGUUUAAGGGAUCUAGGACAGUAUUUGAGGGAAAAAGUCAACAAGGCUUAUAAAACGAAUCAGUUUGAAGCAGAUAUUAAGUACUGGGAUCAACAAUACCUAUCAUUAGAAAAAUUGGUGAAUAACGAGUAUAG